ACCGUACACUUCCGCUUCAGUGAGCAGCUAGCUCUUCAGGUUGUUACCAUUUGGGCUUUCGAAUGAGUCAUGUCAACUUUUUCCAAGCUCUCGAUUUGCUGUAUGUAUGUAAAUGCAUACAUGUAAACAAUGACAUGAAAGGAGAAUAUUUGUUAGUCGUUAGGUCAGUGGAACUCGCUAGCUCUCGUGAAACAAGAGGUGGAGCGUUAGCUAGCACGCCCACAAGCAGCACUCACUCGGCUGUCAAUCAAUGGAUUAUCAAGGAAAGCGUUCGACUUGAACGUUGUUUUUCUAUGUUUUGCCACGUCCAAACUUGAAGACUGGAGGCUCCACGUCGGCUGCUGGUCGUCUAUCUCCAUAUCUCGAAAGAGAAAACAAUCACAACAAAGUAACAAGUUGGAUGGCAAUCUGCUCAUUGCCGAGCGGUGGAGUGGUCGGCCAGAGGGACGAGUGGUCAGCCAGAGGGACGAGUGGUCAGCCAGUGGGAUGAGUGUUACUCCAUGCCUGGACCCGAGACAAAAAGAGAUAGGUUGCUGAGGCAGUAACAAGGAAACUGAAGUGCUGCUGGUCUGUAGCUUUGUUCUGGUCCUCUGCUUCCGCUGCUAGCAGCAGCAGGCUCUUUAGGCAGCACGGAUCCAGGUGAACGAGCUCAGAGUAGUUGUGGCUGAAGACAAACUGUGGCAGGCUUUGCACUUUGUGGACCAGGAUUUGUCACCUCUGCCUGGAAAGAAAAAG